UGCAUCGGCCGGGAAUCGAACCCGGGCCGCCAGCGUGGCAGGCGAGCAUUCUACCAUUGAACCACCGAUGC
rnacentral:tRNA from 1 species